CUGUGAUCAAAACGCAAAAGGGUAUAAAUAGAACCCCCACACCUAACCACAAAAACUCUAGCCGCCUGCCCUCGCCGGAGAAGACGAACCAGACGCCGGAGGAGCCGGCCGCCGCCACCCGCCGCCGCACCGGGGAGUUUUCCAACCGCCGAUCGAGGUAAAUUUCAUACCCCCGACUCGUUUUUCCAUGCUGAGUUCCCCUGUGGCCAAAUCGGAGCCAAAAUCC
rnacentral:lncRNA from 1 species